AAAAGAAAAAGCCAAAAGAUUAAGAUGGGCAAAAGAACACAGACACUGGACAGAGGAAGAUUGGAAAAAGUGUUAUGGACAGACAAAUCUAAGUUUGAGGUGUUCGGAUCACAAAGAAGAACAUUCGUGAGACGCAGAAAAAAUGUAAGAUGUUGGAGCAGUGCUUGACGCCAUCUGUCAAGCAUGGUGGAGGCAAUGUGAUGGUCUGGGGGUGAUUUAAUGGUGGUAAAGUGGGAGAUUUGUACAGGGUAAAAGGGAUCUUGAAGGAAGGCUAUCAAUCCAUUUUGCAACCCCAUGCCAUACCCUGAGGAUGGUGCUUAUUUGGAGCCAAUUUCCUCCUACAACAGGACAAUGACCCAAAGCACAGCUGGGGAGCAGGUAGAGCGUUGGACUAGUAACUGAAAGGUUGCAAGAUCAAAUCCCCAAGCUGACAAGGUAAAAAUCUGCUGUUCUGCUCCUGAACAAUGUAGUUAACCUGCUGUUCCUAGGCUGUCAUUGAAAAUAAGAAUUUGUUCUUAACUGACUUGCCUAGUUAAAUAAAAUAAAAACUCUGCAAGAACAAUUUAGGAAAGAGCAGUCAGCUGGUAUUCAGUCUAUAAUGGAGUGGCUGGCACAGUUGAGCAGUUGUGGGAGCAGCUUGACCCUAUGGUACGUAAGAAGUGCCUAUCAAGCCAAUCCAAAUUGUGGGAGGUGCUUCAAGAACCAUGGGGACCAGUAAGAGAGCAGUGACAUUGUCUGAAGAGAGGAGCAGGGCUGUUGGAAGCCCUUCCUGACUAGAGCUCCUUACCAGGCUGGGCUGUAACCUGAAGCAAAGGAGGGAGAGAGAGAGAGCAACAGAGAGAGAGAGAGAGAGAGGGUGGAAACGAUAGAGGGGGAAGAAACAAAGUCAGAGAGUGAGGGAAGGAAAGAGAGAGGGAGGGAGAAAGAGAAAGCAACAGAGGCAGAGGGAGAGAGAAAGAGGGUGAUGUCAAACCAGCUGAGCUCAGAAAGUAAACAGAGCUCCAGAGUGCAGCAUGCUUUCUGCGGUACGGGGACUGCAGCUGGGGGAAAGCCAUGGGGGACACCUACGCUCCCUCACACCGGCACCCACC
rnacentral:lncRNA from 1 species